ensembl:lncRNA
AUGCAGAGACAUUCACAGUGCCAGUGCGCCGCGCGCCUGCCAGGCGUCGUUUCGCAUCGCUGCCAGGCCUCGUGCUCUGCUCUCCUUGUGCUUUGGAUGAAAGAAAGCAUUUCAUUUUACGUCACGGCUGGACGUAAAAGAACGAAGCGGCAGAGGUCUACGGCUGCAGGAUUUCUCCGGGGAACAUCUUGCCGUCACGCUUCACUGGCGUCUGAAGAGCGCCAGGGAAACCCUGACUGCAGGAGCGGGACAAGAGCUGAGACGAGAAAAGAGACAGAGCGUGAGGGAAUGAACGCAGCGGCGCGUGUGUGCGCGAGGCUCUGUGGGAGAGAAACAGGUGCUUCCUGUGCUUUUGAAAUGCGAGUAUGUGUGUGCGCACGUAGCGCUGCCUGAAAAGCGUGUGCUGUUUGCAUGCGAUUACUGGCCCCGCUCUGAGUGUGUGUGUGUGUACCUGGCUCACGCUGAGACAGGACCAUUAAUCCUGCUUACUGGCCGUCGAGCAGCGCAGAGCAGCGGAGAGAUAAAGAGCCAAAUCCCUCUCUCUCUCGCUCGCUCGCUUGCUCGCUCUAGGCUUGAUGACUGACUCGGCCUGUCUGUCGUCACCUGUAACGAGUCGACGUGAUUUAAUUCAAUUGCUUUCGAUUCAGCGACUCAACUGUAAUGUCAUAAACUGUGAUAUGAUAAUUGUAUUGAUGAUGCGCAUCCUGCGGGUUGAAUAGCUCAUCCAAGACCAGAUGGGUGUUCUGCGGUUGCGUGAAAUCGUUACUAGUGAGGUCAGAUCAACACUGACCUGGAGUCACGGGGAGAGAGAGAGAGAAAGAGCUGUGUGUCGGGUCACAGCGCUGGUCACACUUUCUGUAACACGCGUUCAUCAAUAACUGCCUGAUCGAUAUUCUUAACUGUGCAUUGAUGACCGAUACACAAGCCUGCCGGAAACACACGGCCUCUCAGAUGCUCAGCCUAUCUAUCUACAAGUCUUAUUCUAAUCUACCUGUCUGUCUCUCCAUUUCUAUCUGUCAGUCUCUUCCUCGGUGUCUUUGUCCAUUUCUCCUUUUCUAUCACUGGCUCAAUCUAUAUGUCUCUCUUUGCGCCUGUCUGUCUGUCUACCUCGCCAUCUUUCGCUUGGGGCCGCAGCGAUAUAUUAAUAGCUCUAGCCGCCGAGACCCAAUUCCCAGAGCCGUGUAAGAAUUCAUUCCCUCUCUCUCUCUCUCUCUCUCUCUCUCUCUCUCUCUCUCCAGUGGGAGGGCUGACUCUUGCGCAUUUGGAAAUUUGGCCUGUAAGUACCCUUCAGCUGGGGAUCAAAGCUGUGCACUGCACACACACCGCCUGAGAACGGACGUAUAGGCCCACAGAGGGAGGAGUGUGUGUGUGUGUGUGAGAAGGUCAGCAAGAGGCGACUCGUUCUUGGACGCUGUACAAUCUCCAGACGGCGAUCCCCACUGCGCAGGAUUAAACUGUGUGUGUGUGUGGAUCCUGCACUGAAAAACACAGCUUGACAUGCAAAUUUUCCACAGUAUGCUUAAGGGAAUAAACUCACCCAGGAUGACUGUGGGACUUGCA